UCCGUGUGCAAAGAGACAGAUCACAAAGU
rnacentral:piRNA from 1 species